AUGGCAGCACCGGGAGAGACCGGAUCGAUCCGGCACCGAAGGAGCAACCGCCCCGGAAACUCUCAGGUCAAAGGACCGGUGCCUGCCA
rnacentral:ncRNA from 2 species